rnacentral:rRNA from 1 species
UACAGGGGGUGCAAACGUUGCUCGGAAUCAUUGGGCGUAAAGCGCACGUAGGCGGUCUGUUAUGUCGGAUGUGAAAGCCCUUGGCUCAACUGAGGAAGUGCAUCCGAAACUGGCAGGCUAGAGUACUAAAGAGGAUCGCGGAAUUCCCGGUGUAGAGGUGAAAUUCGUAGAUAUUGGGAAGAACACCGGUGGCGAAGGCGGCCAUCUGGAUCGGUACUGACGCUGAGGUGCGAAAGCGUGGGGGAGCAAACAGGG